rnacentral:rRNA from 1 species
UACAGAGGGGGCAAGCGUUGUUCGGAAUUACUGGGCGUAAAGGGCGCGUAGGCGGCGUGCUAAGUCGAACGUGAAAUCCCCCGGGCUCAACCCGGGAACUGCGUCCGAGACUGGCAUGCUUGAAUCCGGGGGAGGGAUGUGGAAUUCCAGGUGUAGCGGUGAAAUGCGUAGAUAUCUGGAGGAACAUCGGUGGCGAAGGCGGCAUCCUGGACCGGUAUUGACGCUGAGGCGCGAAAGCCAGGGGAGCAAACGGG